rnacentral:rRNA from 1 species
GUGGGGAAUAUUGGACAAUGGGGGAAACCCUGAUCCAGCAAUGCCGCGUGAGUGAAGAAGGCCUUAGGGUUGUAAAACUCUUUCAGUCGUGACGAUGAUGACGGUAGCGACAGAAGAAGCCCCGGCUAACUCCGUGCCAGCAGCCGCGGUAAUACGGAGGGGGCUAGCGUUGUUCGGAAUUACUGGGCGUAAAGCGCACGUAGGCGGCGUAGCAAGUCAGAGGUGAAAGGCCUAGGCUCAACCUGGGAACUGCCUUUGAUACUGCUAUGCUUGAGUCCGGGAGAGGGUAGUGGAAUUCCCAGUGUAGAGGUGAAAUUCGUAGAUAUUGGGAAGAACACCGGUGGCGAAGGCGGCUACCUGGCCCGGUACUGACGCUGAGGUGCGAAAGCGUGGGGAGCAAACAGGAUUAGAUACCCCGGUAGUCC